GGCCUGGUGGUCUAGGGGUAUGAUACUCGCUUUGGGUGUGAGUGGUCCCGGGUUCAAAUCCCGGCCAGGCCC
rfam:Clonorchis sinensis DNA, scaffold: 256, strain: Henan.